rnacentral:rRNA from 1 species
AACGAACGCUGGCGGCAGGCUUAACACAUGCAAGUCGAACGCUGUAGCAAUACAGAGUGGCAGACGGGUGAGUAACGCGUGGGAACAUACCCUUCGGUUCGGAAUAACUCAGGGAAACUUGAGCUAAUACCGGAUACGUCCGCGAGGAGAAAGAUUCAUCGCCGAAGGAUUGGCCCGCGUCUAAUUAGCUAGUUGGUGAGGUAACGGCUCACCAAGGCGACGAUCAGUAGCUGGUCUGAGAGGAUGAUCAGCCACACUGGGACUGAGACACGGCCCAGACUCCUACGGGAGGCAGCAGUGGGGAAUAUUGGACAAUGGGCGCGAGCCUGAUCCAGCCAUGCCGCGUGAGUGAUGAAGGCCUUAGGGUUGUAAAGCUCUUUUACCCGGGAAGAUAAUGACGGUACCGGGAGAAUAAGCCCCGGCUAACUUCGUGCCAGCAGCCGCGGUAAUACGAAGGGGGCUAGCGUUGUUCGGAUUUACUGGGUGUAAAGCGCACGUAGGCGGAUUCUUAAGUCAGGGGUGAAAUCCCGAGGCUCAACCUCGGAACUGCCUUUGAUACUGGGGAUCUCGAGUUCGGGAGAGGUGAGUGGAACUGCGAGUGUAGAGGUGAAAUUCGUAGAUAUUCGCAAGAACACCAGUGGCGAAGGCGGCUCACUGGCCCGAUACUGACGCUGAGGUGCGAAAGCGUGGGGA